rnacentral:rRNA from 1 species
AGUUGCCAGCGAUUCGGUCGGGGACUCUAGAGAUACUGCCCCGGUUAACGGGGAGAAGGUGGGGAUGACGUCAAGUCCUCAUGGCCCUUAUGCCCAGGGCUACACACGUGCUACAAUGGGCGGUACAAAGGGUAGCGAUGCCGCGAGGUGAAGCCAAUCCCAAAAAGCCGUCCACAGUUCGGAUUGGAGUCUGCAACUCGACUCCAUGAAGCCGGAAUCGCUAGUAAUCGUGGAUCAGCAUGCCACGGUGAAUACGUUCCCGGGCCUU